rnacentral:rRNA from 1 species
GCUUACGGCCACACCACCCUGAGCGCGCCCGAUCUCGUCUGAUCUCGGAAGCUAAGCAGGGUCGGGCCUGGUUAGUACUUGGAUGGGAGACCGCCUGGGAAUACCAGGUGCCGUGAAGCU